rnacentral:lncRNA from 1 species
CUCCAGGCAGGCGUGGCACAGCCACCUCAGUCCUGGUUCAGCCUGCUGACCAUGAGGCCACCUGCCAGGGACACCCACAGAAGGCUCUAUCACUAGCACCUUGCCAGGGCUGCUCCCCAGGUUCUGGCCAAUCUUCAACCUCCUUUUCUGAAACUGGGUUCCUGUCCUCUCCCUGCCGUGGGAUGGCUACCCAGGAGGGAAAUCAAGGUGCAUCGAGGCACCAGUGGGGGGUGAGGACUCGCUGCCUCCAAUGGCAGAGGUUCAUUUACUAAAGCUGGAAGGUGAGGCUCGUGCCAGCCCCAAGACUCAGGUGGGCAGAGCAAAUCUCUCAUUUGGAAGCUGAUGGUUGUUUACUGGCGAGGCAGAGAACUGGCAGAGUCCCUAGCAGUUCCCGUCACCUUCUCCUGAGUCUCAGCGUGGGCUGCACAAACCCUUGGGCUGAUCUAUUUCAGGCCCCUUGGCGACGCUCUUGCCUGCAAACCAAUGGCAGAUUGUACAAGUUCCACUCGACAGGGAGGAAACUCACAGCCAGAACACAAACGAAAGGAACCACAGAUGAGGCCUGAGUGGCACCUGAGUUCGCAAUCACCCAAACAUCAGAGACCCCACGGCGCAUCCAUGUGACCCUUAGUAAGCACUGCAUGGUCACAAUGGCCACGAGCUCCUUGCAGGUGGUUAGAUGGAGCUGUUGCUAAGUGGUGACCUCCAAACCCUGUUAUGACUCAAGACCAGCACACCGGGUGCUACACAGGGCUUGGCUCUUCCUGUGGCCAUUUAUACACUGGGCACUAGCUGGUCUGUGCCAUCAGGAGCCCCGGGCUCCCACACUCACCUGUUUUCAGCCUUCUCUUGGCCAGUCCUGCAGUGAGGGAGUCCCGCCCAGGCUUCACUGUUACACAAGGCCCAGGUCACAGCAGAGAACUGUGGCACCCACUCCUGAGCUCAAUGUGGUACCAAUGUGUGAUCUCGUGCAUGGGGACAGCUGCCCACAGAUCAUUCUGCCCACAGAUCAAUCAAAGUGAGCCACAGCAGCCCCUGCAUAACCUACGAAAGCAGGGGGACCAGGGUGUGGAGCUUGGUUCACUCAAGCAUCCAGGGCCUGUCAUGGCCCUGGCACUGCACGUGACCGAACGUCCUCUAAUGACAGGAAAGGGCUUUGGGCUUCCAAGAGAAGAUGAGGAAGAAACAAAGUGUGGCUGAAAUGAGUCGAGGAGAGUGCGCAGCUCCCCUCGGGAGGUGGGGUGGGAACUGUGGAGAGCUGCAAGUAGAGGAGGCUCUGGACAUUGCCAGGUGUGGAAGUGACCCCCGAUCAGUCUUACCUGGCGCAUCCCGUCCAGCAGACGGCGGAGGACUGAGCGCUCUCACAGGGAUUUGCUGCAAUGAGGCCAACUCCUGGGAGAAGCCACUGUUCCUGAAGUGCUGUCCAUGCUGGGAAAGUGCCAGAAUGGGCUCAGUGAUGAGGCUGUCCCAACCACCAGUAGGAGCUUCUGUGGGAAGGAGGACUGCUGCCAGGGCGUCCUGAGGAGCAAACGCAUGCGCACACGGAACUGCUCCCCAGGCUGCGGGGAGGGCGGGGCGGGGAGGGGGCGCUUAUAAGAUGGCAGUGUCCCUGCACAGCGCUGUAGGACGUGGUCGGAGGCGAGAGCUGCUGUGGAGGAGUGCCUCAGCGCCAAGACAGGACUUUCUCCCCCGCCGCCUUACAGAGGGCCAGUCCUUCACCUCUUCCUGGUAGCGCCCCCACCCCUGUCCCCCGACCGGGGGCCCCACUUCCCGUGUUCCCACAGGGGCGCUCAGCAAAGGCACGUGCUGUGACAACAGGAAUGUGGGCAAACCGUGUCGCGUCUUCACCAGCUCAAAUGGGAAAACCGUCAUCACUGUGAGUUCGUUCCCAUGUGGCCCUUUCCUUGGGGCCAGGGGAACCUCGGGACUCUUGUGGAAGGAAGGGGACGGGGUCUGUGCGGGAACCGCAGACAUGCCGUGAGGACUUCUCGGACCCCCCUCACUCCCACAGCAUUUCAGAAACCACCAAGAACAGAACAAGGACAGAUCAGGAGAGGGAGGACGGCAGACCAGCAGAGAAUGCUAAGGGGCCAGCUUCGCGUACAGCCCACAGCCAUCUCCAUCAAAAGGCA